AAACAUGGCUUAAAGAAUAAAGCUCAAUUAAUUUGUUCUUAUCAGUUUAAUACCUCAUACAUCCUCCAUAGGAGGGAGGGUCAGUAUAUGAACCUGAUUUUUGGAAUCGGAUGGAGUUGGCAGAGUUCACUCCUCAACCACCGCGAAUUAGCGCGGUAUUGCAGUGCCACUGGAAGUGGCCCAAUCCAC